rnacentral:rRNA from 1 species
AUGCCUGUGUUGAAGACAUCGUGGGCGAUUGAAAAGCAUGGCAGCGAGGUGUUCACGCAUGAGAUAUUUCAGGAUUUUCAACAUGAGUUGCUUGCUGAUAGGGAUCGUUGCCUUGUUGAGAUGAUGGCACAUGAUGGUGAGGUUAAAACAGUAACUAUACAUGAUGGCUAUAAGAAAUUAAGGGUGGUAACUUACAACACAACAACCAUGGUAGGUUCUUGCACAUGUAAGUUGUUUGAGACGCACGGUAUCCCAUGUCGUCAUCUAAUCCAUGUCCUAAGAACAACCCAGCUAAAUGAACUACCAAAGCAUUAUGUACUCAAAAGGUUUAGAAAGGACUGCAAAACCGAGCCAGUCUUUGACGAGGAUGGCAUUCUAUUGGAAGGCAAUGAGAGCAGUUCAAUUGAUCUGGAGAUACAAAAAUUAGCUUCAGAAACAUUUAAGAAGAUGGAAGACCUUUUAGUACAAGCGAAGCAAUCUCAAGUCAGCAUGCAAUUCUUGAGAGAUCACAUUUUUGCACUUGGAGAGCAAUUGUCUACCCAAGUUCCAGCGAAAAAACAAACUCAAACGGAAGAAUUUGAGGAAUUUUUAGGUUGUUCUAUUCCAAGUGAGGUUCAUAUCCAUCCUCCAAAUGAUAUUUGA